UCCUGACUGACCGAUAGUGAACCAGUACCGUGAGGGAAAGGCGAAAAGAACCCCGGCGAGGGGAGUGAAAAAGAACCUGAAACCGUGUACGUACAAGCAGUGGGAGCACGCUUAGGCGUGUGACUGCGUACCUUUUGUAUAAUGGGUCAGCGACUUAUAUUCUGUAGCAAGGUUAACCGAAUAGGGGAGCCGAAGGGAAACCGAGUCUUAACUGGGCGUUAAGUUGCAGGGUAUAGACCCGAAACCCGGUGAUCUAGCCAUGGGCAGGUUGAAGGUUGGGUAACACUAACUGGAGGACCGAACCGACUAAUGUUGAAAAAUUAGCGGAUGACUUGUGGCUGGGGGUGAAAGGCCAAUCAAACCGGGAGAUAGCUGGUUCUCCCCGAAAGCUAUUUAGGUAGCGCCUCGUGAAUUCAUCUCCGGGGGUAGAGCACUGUUUCGGCAAGGGGGUCAUCCCGACUUA
rnacentral:rRNA from 1 species